CAAUAGCGUAUAUUAAAGUUGUUGCGGUUAAAAAGCUCGUAGUUGGAUUUCGGUUGAGAACGGCCGGUCCGCCGUUUGGUGUGCACUGGCUGGUUUCAACUUCCUGUAGAGGACGCGCUCUGGCUUCACGGCUGGACGCGGAGUCUACGUGGUUACUUUGAAAAAAUUAGAGUGUUCAAAGCGGGCUUACGCUUGAAUAUUUCAGCAUGGAAUAACACUAUAGGACUCCUGUCCUAUUUCGUUGGUCUCGGGACGGGAGUAAUGAUUAAGAGGAACAGUUGGGGGCAUUCGUAUUUCAUUGUCAGAGGUGAAAUUCUUGGAUUUAUGAAAGACGAACUUCUGCGAAAGCAUUUGCCAAGGAUGUUUUCAUUAA
rnacentral:rRNA from 1 species